rnacentral:tRNA from 1 species
GCACACGAUGGAUAGCUCAGUUGGUUAGAGUGUGGCGCUGAUAACACCAAGGUUGCAGGUUUGAUCCCCAUACGGGACAGCUGCA